rnacentral:lncRNA from 12 species
AUUCAAUUAUCCUGGGGUUAGGGGGUUUGUGGUGCUGUCAGCCAGUGCUAAAGCAAUAAAACAAACAUUCCUCAGGAGAGCUGACUGCCAGGGGCCAGCCUGGCCAAUGCUCCAGCCAGGGCACCUCUCCCUCCCCCGGGGCCAGGGGCAGGGGGAGCUUUAAAUAAAAUAAAUUUAUUUGGUGGUACCCAGGGCACGGAUUCACCUGCUCAGUGUGGGCUCAAGCUCCAAGCCCAGAGGAUUUCCUGCCUGCUCCCCCAGCCAGAGCUGUGCCCAGUCCAUGCCCAUGUUCCCACAGCCUUGCAGAGGAGGCAUCAGAACAGCACAAGCAAAUGUGUUUACAGCUUCACGCUUAAAUUUGAAAUGUGUUUCUAACCUGACAUCUGUGUAUUUUCAGCCCUUUCCAAAGCUCUUGUUGUGCUUUCUAUGGCUUCUGCUUCAUUAUUCUAAUUUAAUAAAGCUGCAGUGAAGGCAGAGUGCCG